GACGAACGCUGGCGGCGUGCCUAAUACAUGCAGGUCGAGCGAGCUUGCCUAGAUGAUUUUAGUGCUUGCACUAAAUGAAACUAGAUACAAGCGAGCGGCGGACGGGUGAGUAACACGUGGGUAACCUGCCCAAGAGACUGGGAUAACACCUGGAAACAGAUGCUAAUACCGGAUAAGACCACAGCACCGCAUGGUGCAGGGGUAAAAACUCCGGUGGUAUGAGAUGGAUCCGCGUCUGAUUAGCUAGUUGGUAAGGUAACGGCUUACCAAGGCAACGAUCAGUAGCCGACCUGAGAGGGUGACCGGCCACAUUGGGACUGAGACACGGCCCAA
rnacentral:rRNA from 1 species